AAAAGAAACUAACAAGGAUUCCCCUAGUAACUGCGAGUGAAGCGGGAAAAGCUCAAAUUUAAAAUCUGGUAGUCUUUGGCUGCCUGAGUUGUAAUCUAGAGAAGUGUUAUCCGCACUGGACCGUGUACAAGUCUCCUGGAAUGGAGCGUCAUAGAGGGUGAGAAUCCCGUCUUUGACACGGACUACCAGGGCUUUGUGAUGCGCUCUCAAAGAGUCGAGUUGUUUGGGAAUGCAGCUCUAAAUGGGUGGUAAAUUCCAUCUAAAGCUAAAUAUUGGCGAGAGACCGAUAGUGAACAAGUACCGUGAGGGAAAGAUGAAAAGAACUUUGGAAAGAGAGUUAAACAGUACGUGAAAUUGUUGAAAGGGAAACGCUUGAAGUCAGUCGUGUUGGCCAGGGAUCAACCUUGCUUCUUGCUUGGUGUACUUUCUGGUUAAUGGGUCAGCAUCAAUUUUGACCAGUGGAAAAAGACUAGGGGAAUGUGGCAUCUUCGGAUGUGUUAUAGCCCUUGGUUGCAUACACUGGUUGGGAUUGAGGAACUCAGCACGCCGCAAGGCCGGGUUUUUACCACGUUCGUGCUUAGGAUGCUGGCAUAAUGGCUUUAAUCGACCCG
rnacentral:rRNA from 1 species